AGUGAACGCUGGCGGUAGGCCUAACACAUGCAAGUCGAACGGCAGCACAGUAAGAGCUUGCUCUUACGGGUGGCGAGUGGCGGACGGGUGAGGAAUACAUCGGAAUCUACUUUUUCGUGGGGGAUAACGUAGGGAAACUUACGCUAAUACCGCAUACGACCUACGGGUGAGAGCAGGGGAUCUUCGGACCUUGCGCGAUUGAAUGAGCCGAUGUCGGAUUAGCUAGUUGGCGGGGUAAAGGCCCACCAAGGCGACGAUCCGUAGCUGGUCUGAGAGGAUGAUCAGCCACACUGGAACUGAGACACGGUCCAGACUCCUACGGGAGGCAGCAGUGGGGAAUAUUGGACAAUGGGCGCAAGCCUGAUCCGGCCAUACCGCGUGGGUGAAGAAGGCCUUCGGGUUGUAAAGCCCUUUUGUUGGGAAAGAAAAGCAGCAGGUUAAUACCCCGCUGUUCUGACGGUACCCAAAGAAUAAGCACCGGCUAACUUCGUG
rnacentral:rRNA from 1 species